UUUAAUUGCAUAUCGUGUCCUUUAUCUAGAUAAUUGCAUAAUCGGUGAAGAAGUGGAUUAGGUGCUAACAAUUCUCUGAUCAAGGCAAGUUUUCUCCUCCCAUCCUUUGAACACAUUGAAUCCCAUGAUUUGAGGAAUGAAAAUAUUUGUUUGCAAAGUUGCAUGUGAACUUAGACUAUAUCGGUAUUUGAAAUUGGGUUAAGGUAGUUAUGACCUAUUUGCUGCAUAUUCCACCUUGAAUAAUUGAUCCUCUUGCUGUUUGAACCCCUAGAAAUGAUUAGAGUACAUUCAUUGUGCUCAAAUGGGUUUAUAUAUGCUCUAUGUGCAACUACUUGCUUAGCCAUGCUUAGAAAUAUGCAAAUGCUCAUUCCAUCUAUAAUUAAAAUGUGAAUUUUGAUACAUGAACCCUUGCUGGAAUAAAAUGAAUAUGAUGGGUAUUUGCGAACUAAAAUGUGUAAAAUGUGAUUUUAUACUUGGGCGGCAAGUGGUGUGCAUAUGGUGUUAGUUGCAUACCGAUAGGGGAAGUGUUUGCCCAAGCCCAUAAGGACCGAACUUGUGUCACCCAUUUAAAGUUAUCCGUACAUCCACAUGUGCUAGUAUGGGAUGGCCUAAGCUGAUUAAUCUAUUUAGGACUAGCCUUGCAUUCUGGUAGGCCGGUGUGUAUGAGUUAGUCGAUAAUUCUGAGGAAUUAGUCGAUGAUUCAGAGGAACUUCCUAUUUGCCCCGACGUGGUAGUUUAGGUGACUAAGUCUGUCCAAUACAACGGUAUUGUGCCACGUGGUGGGUUCCCAUCGUGUCCGCCACCACGGCGUUAAGUUUAAGGCGUGGGCCCGCCACUUAACGGUUCUAGGUAUAUUCCAAGUAUGCCUAGGAUGGAGGAACACGUAUCGUGCUGGUGCAAGGCUAGGCUCUAAGUAGUGUAAAGGCUUCGUUAUGACCUCUAGAUCACAUUCAACAUGAAGAGUGUGGUGGAGUCUUGCAAACUCAAAACAAACUAGAGAGUUCAUAUCAUGUGGGUAAAGCUGUACAAACUCUGCAGAGUUCUUUAAACUAAUCGAUUAGCCGUGCUCACGGUCAUGAGCGCUUUGGUGAUGUGUCAUGAGUAUAGACUAUGUUUUAAAAAUGUGAUCAUGUGACAUUGGUUUGAAAUUGAUAAAUGUGUUGAGUUGUGUGUGUGGUGAUACAUUAUGACUUAUUGUUAAAUAUGGCAAUAAGAGAUUGAUUAUGAUGGAAUUAUGAAGAAGUUAAUAAUGAAACUUAAAACUUGUCUUUGUUAAUUGAAGCAUCAACUCCUUUACAAAAGAAUUGCGAAACAAAACUUGCUUUAAGCUGAAAUUGAACUACAUAUUGCCUUCCUUUGAAUAUAUGCCUUACAUGUAGUAUGGUAGGAUUGACUUGUGCUUGCCAGUACAUUAACUUGUUUAAUGUACUGACUCUUGCUGUUGAUAUAACCUUUUGUUUGCAGGUUUAGUCUUAGUCUUUGAGUGAUGCGGGUUCCGAUUGCUUCUUCUAGGAUGAGAGCUUAAUGGGGUAUACCCCUAGUCGGUGUGCUUGUGAUUGGGUAGUCAAGCUUCCGCUGUUCUCUAAUAAGUCUAUUUGGCCGGUCGGCCAUGUAAUUAUUAAGUUGUUGUAAGUCUUAAGUUUCUUUCAUCCUAGUUGUGUUUGCUAUGUGUAAU
rnacentral:lncRNA from 1 species